AACAACAACAACAACAACAUGAAUGUUAUGAAAUAUUAGAUGGCUUGUGGACAAGUAUAAUUUGAUUUGGAACUGAACCACAAAAAAGCUGUGCUGUUCUGCUGCUGUUCUGCAAAGCAUGGAUGGUAGGACUCAGACCUAUCUAAAGACUGAGUUUAAUUUUGUGUUCAUAAGGCACUUUGAAUAUCUCCAAUAUCCCUUGGUCUGUUCAGCCCAGAGUAGAGCAGGUUGAGGGGAGGCCUCAUGGCCUCACAGGGAGUGGAGGGGUAGCACUGAGCUCUGCUCUCAGGUAACAGCAAUAGGUCCCAAGGGAAUGGCAUGGAGUUGCACUGCAUGAUGGUCAGGCUGGGUGGUAGGGAAAUAUUCUUCACCAGAGGGCAGUAGGCAUGGAACAGGCUUCUCCAGACAGUAGGCAGAGCCUCAAGCUGCCGGAGUUCAAGAAGCACUUGGACGACGCUCUCGGACAAAGGGUUUGAAUUUGCAUGUCUCAAUCUACCUUACACAGCUAAAUAGCCAAAUACAAUUUCAAGCCAAGCAUUCUCCUGCAUUGUCUCUCCUGAGGAGUCUCAUCUGCUGUUGUGUCCAGAAUAUGCAGUGUGGUUUAUAAACUUGCACAAUGGUUAGGGCACUGUACCAGAGGUAGGUGAAAGACUUUUGGUUCCCUUUUCCUCCUUGUCUGAGACAAGCUGGAAGGACAGGAGUGAUAACCAGAAGUGAAAACAGUUCAAGGCAGAAUGAGAGUGAGCAAAGAUUUCGAGUGUUCAGGGUACUGCCUGGGUUUGUCAAUCCUUCAUUGCCAUUUCUGUAGCUGUUAAGAAAAUUCAGAGGGCCACAAAAAUGAUUCAAGGGAUGGAACACCUCCCCUACCAUGACAGGCUGAGAGAGCUCCGGGGCUGUUCAGUCUGAAAAAGAGAAGGCUCGGGGGAGACCUGAGAGUGGCCAUUCGGUAUCUAAAGGGGAGCUCUAAGAAGGAAGGGGGCAGACUCUUUAGCAAGGUCUGUUGCGAUUGGACAAGGGGAAAUGGCUUCAAACUAAAAGAGAGGAAGUUUAGGUUGUAUAUAAGGAAGAAGUUUUUUAUGAUACGGGUGGGGAAGCACUGGCACAAGUUGCCCAGAGAGGUGGUGGAUGCCCAUCCCUGGAGACAGUCAAGGUUGCCAUGGAGAAAGGGGAUAAGCAAAGGGAGCGGAAAAGGAAGAAAAGGAGAAAAGGCAAUAAAGAGGACAAAAAUGGAAGCUAAGCCAAAUGGCAGAGCCCUGACAGCAAAGCCAGGAGUUCUCAGUGCCACAGAUUAUGUGAGGAACUGCUAAAGAAGCAAUUCCGCAAAGUGAGUGAGGGCCCAUGGGCCACUGCAUGACCUGCAUGGAAGGUAUGGAUUAUUUGACUUUUGCUGUCUGUCUCUUCCUGUGGUCUCUACACUACUUAUUGUCACCAGCCUAGGUAAGGAGAGCUUGAGCACCCCGGGGCCUGGCUUUUGUAGCAGGGCCACUUCAAGGCCUGCGACCAGAGGCACCAGCGCCUGCUGGGCCAGGCAGGGCUCCUGCGUACCUGGAACUGCACAGAGAGGGGCUGACACCGAAGAGCAAACCGCUCCUACAGACCGAGCGGAGGCGAUGUGCGUUCCCACGUCCCCCCCUGGCCUCCGGAUCGCUCCGGGCCGUAAUGAGCCGCCGCUCCGCGGUGGGCAGCGUCCUGCCG
ensembl:lncRNA